rnacentral:lncRNA from 1 species
UUUUUUUUUUUUUUUUUUUUUUAAAUUAUACAUACUUUAUUGAAAACUUUCACAUUUGUUAGUUUGAUACAGAAAGUACCGGUACCUUAUCCCGGCCUCGUUAAACAUUAGAUUGUAUAUUUAGAAAAAUUGUUAGUAAUUGUUAGUACUCAAAAUUAUAAAAUAUAUAUACAGUAUAUUAUUGUGUAUCAAUUAUUUCAAUAUUGAUCAAUAAAGUGAGAAUUUUAUUUAAGAGAGAAUGUGAGAAGAGAAGAGAAAAUAAUAAAAAUUAAAACACAAAUGCAAAAAAAAUAAAAUAAAAACGAGAGAAAAAAAAAAUAAAAAUAAAAAAUAGAAAGUCCUUGAAAUUUGGAAUUUGGCAGCAGUAUUUUUUUCUUAAGAUACAACAUUAAAUAAAUUUGGCAAAGUUGGUUUUCCAUUGUAAAUAAUUCAUACAAACACAAAACAGAUAUUAGAGAAUGUAUAUGCAUUUUAGGCACAAAACAAGAACAAAAGACAAUAAACAAUAAACAACAUAUAACAGUAUAUUAUAUAAAAACAUAUAUGUUGGUGUGAGAAGGCUA